CAAGAUAAAUUAAAAAUAGAAUUAAAAUAAAAAAACUAAAUAAAAAAAGAAAUCUGUUGGUCUACUAGUGAUUAAACCCAGCCGCUUGGCUGUUGGGUUUACAAUGGGAAUAUGAAUUGAAAAGGAGGAAAUAAAUUGAAAAUAUAAAAAACAUUUAUUAACUAAUACCUAGGAAAAUUAAAUGAAUUUUAAUAGUUUUUUUAAAAAAUGAAUUAUUCUAUCUAAAAUAAAUUAGAGAAAAAAAAUUGAAAAAAAAGAAAAGACAGACUUCAUCGUCCUCGUCGUCUCUCACUCUUCUCUCUCAGUCUCGCGAUUCGCUCACACCUCAGCAUCUCUCAAUCGAAAUCUCUCUCUGCUCUCAACCUCACUCAAUCGUCUCUCAAACGCGUCCAACCCACGAACCCUCUCACACUCUCAAACUCAAUCAAUCCUUCUCUAUCAAAUGCUCAGAGGAAUCCAAUCGAAAACUCACCUUCGG
rnacentral:lncRNA from 1 species